GAUGAACGCUGGCGGCGUGCCUAAUACAUGCAAGUCGAGCGAAUGGAUUAAGAGCUUGCUCUUAUGAAGUUAGCGGCGGACGGGUGAGUAACACGUGGGUAACCUGCCAUAAGACUGGGAUAACUCCGGGAAACCGGGGCUAAUACCGGAUAACAUUUUGAACCGCAUGGGUCGAAAUUGAAAGGCGGCUUCGGCUGUCCCUUAUGGAUGGACCCGCGUCGCAUUAGCUAGUUGGUGAGGUAACGGCUCACCAAGGCAACGAUGCGUAGCCGACCUGAGAGGGUGAUCGGCCACACUGGGACUGAAACACGGCCCAGACUCCUACGGGAGGCAGCAGUAGGGAAUCUUCCGCAAUGGACGAAAGUCUGACGGAGCAACGCCGCGUGAGUGAUGAAGGCUUUCGGGUCGUAAAACUCUGUUGUUAGGGAAGAACAAGUGCUAGUUGAAUAAGCUGGCACCUUGACGGUACCUAACCAGAAAGCCACGGCUAACUACGUGCCAGCAGCCGCCGUAA
rnacentral:rRNA from 1 species